rnacentral:rRNA from 1 species
CCUACGGGAGGCAGCAGUGGGGGAUAUUGCACAAUGGGGGGAACCCUGAUGCAGCGAAGCCGCGUGGGGGAAGAAGCGCCUAGGGGCGUACAGCCCUGUCAGCAGGGGAGAAAAUGACGGUACCUGAAGAAGAAGCCCCGGCUCACUACGUGACAGAAGCCGCGGCAAUACGGCGGGGGCCAGGGUUAACCGGAUUUACUGGGGGUAAAGGGGGGGCAGUGGGCGAUGAAAGCCAGGAGGUAAAGCCCGGGGCCCAACCCCGGGACUGCUCGUGGAACUGCGUGGCUGGAGUGCAGGAGGGGCAGGCGGAAUGCGUGGUGUAGCGGUGAAAUGCGUAGAUAUCAGGAGGAACACCGGUGGCGAAGGCGGCCUGCUGGACUGCAACUGACGUUGAGGCCCGAAAGCGUGGGGAGCAAACAGGAUUAGAUACCCCUGUAGUC